GACGAACGCUGGCGGCGUGCUUAACACAUGCAAGUCGAACGGAAAGGCCCUGCUUUUGUGGGGUGCUCGAGUGGCGAACGGGUGAGUAACACGUGAGUAACCUGCCCUUGACUUUGGGAUAACUUCAGGAAACUGGGGCUAAUACCGGAUAGGAGCUCCUGCUGCAUGGUGGGGGUUGGAAAGUUUCGGCGGUUGGGGAUGGACUCGCGGGUUAUCAGCUUGUUGGUGGGGUAGGGGCUUACCAAGGCUUUGACGGGUAGCCGGCCUGAGAGGGUGACCGGCCACAUUGGGACUGAGAUACGGACCAGACGCCUACGGGAGGCAGCAGUGGGGAAUAUUGCACAAUGGGCGGAAGCCUGAGGCAGCAACGCCGCGUGCGGGAUGACGGCCUUCGGGUUAUAAACCGCUUUCGCCUGUGACGAAGCGUGAGUGACGGUAAUGGGUAAAGAAGCACCGGCUAACUACGUG
rnacentral:rRNA from 1 species